rnacentral:lncRNA from 1 species
CAUCAGUCAUUUCUAUUAAUAUGUGAUAGAUUAAUAUGUACUUGUGGAUGCAGUCAUCGAUUAUUUGGGGGACGAUUGUGCAGGGUCCUGUCCUUUCUUUCCUCCCUCACUGCCUGUGUUUAAUUCUCUCCUUUUCUGUGGUGAGGGGCAGACGGGAGGGGAGGAGUGUUGGAGUGGGAGAGGAAGUGUAAAACACUCCAUUAUGCUUCUUAGCAGUUUUCCAAAAUGCCUGGGGAUGAAGGGAGGCAUUGCUCUAAUGCCAAAUCUGAGACCGGCUGAUACUUCAGUGUGAUGUGGGUCACCUGUGUCUCUUGAGACUUGAUGUUGGGGCCAGGCCACAGGACUGACUGUGGAAUUGCUACUCAUGAGAUCCUUCCUCUUGGAGGAGGUCUAAGCCAGACACUUUAUGCCAAAUUCUGCUCAUGCGAAUGUGGUGCCCCCAUGGGCUUUUGUGGCAAUACCCCCAUCACUGUUGGCAUAGGCAGCAAGGGUAGAGAAUGUAAUGUCUUGCUUUGGGGAUGGGUGAGGUCGGGGAGAGAGGCGUGGUUCUAGGAGAAGAAAAGGAAAGAGAGAACAAAUGUAAGAAACCAUCUGUGGGUAUCAGCGCACACAGCGUCCCACACGACCUCAUGUUGGCUCUUUGGUUAGUAUCACUAUCCUAUUUGCAUAAAAAAACCUAAGACUCUGAGGAGUGUAAGUACUUGCUCAAAGCCACAGCUAGGAAAUGGCAGAGGUGGGCUUUAAAUGCAGUGCUUGACUUAAGUGCUCUAGUCUGUGACAUCUUGUGGCCACCAAAGGCAGACUCUGGCCAGAUUUAUGUUCAUGGUCCUGAGCCUGGGUCACCAAUUAAUGUCUUUUUCUGGUGAAGUCUAAGAUCUAAAUAUUGUGAACCCCACAGGCCUUGGCAGUGGAUGGAGGGGUGUUUGCCAAAUGUCAGGGUCUUAUUUGUUCCUUCAGGUCUCCCCAGGAAAUGCUUUUGUUCAUUUCCAUACAGACAUGGCUCCCUUCACUGGGGACCGUGUAUUUUUUCUUUGACUAGAAACACCAUGUGUGUAAUGUUUUCUUUGAAAAGGAAAGCCCUGGGAUCAUCUGCAUCAGGUUAUAAAACGAUCCCAAGGUCCAUUUCUGGCUCUAGGCAAGUUGAGUAUACAUCACCUCGUUUAAUUCAGCAAUAUCAUCAAUGUCAGUGCGUAUCCACCGGCUGUUGGCUAUUGGUCAUCCGGACCUGACACAAACUCAAUAAAUACUCCAUAACCCCUGACAGCCGCUAGCAGAUUAGCCUGAAAUGAGCGAUGGCCCAGCCAACACCUGCUGAACCAAAUCAGCCCCGUGACGGAUGGGCCUGUACUAAGCUCUGGCCACGAGUGAGAUCAGUGAAAGAAUGAUUUUAUACUUUAAGAAAAGAAUUAGAGAUGGUGGCUGCUGGAAUGAUUGGAAAGCUUUCAGAGGGGACCGUUUUUCUUCUCUUUCUUCCUCUUCCCCCGACAGAUUCCCUACUGCCACUCUCCUCCCACACCUGAGCCCAUGACACAUUCUGAGUUCCUGGGCCCACAGGGGGAACAAGGGUCAGGGAGUGGGAGGCAGUUGAGGUGAAUGCUGGGGGCCACUUUCAGGCACGUGUAGAGUGUAGAAUGUGCCACUCAGGGGGAGGCAGAAUGCCACCCCAGAGCCACGGGGCAGGGGCUGUCUACCUGACUCCAUGGUGAAGUGCAAUCGUGGAACAGCAGUUCAGGGAUGGGGUUGGAGAGGGGAUGGGGUGCACCACCUAACUAAAGGGUAGGCUGAGGUUAAGGUCCCAGGGAGGUGUUGGCUAGGUAUAAACUUUUAGGCUUCUUGUGACCUUGUAGCAAUCAUCAACAAAGCCUUCUAAUCCCAAUAAACUGCCUCCUACUGUAUCGUCUAGAUGAGAACACAGGCUUGGUGAAAAAACCAAAGUACAGACAAAAACCCCUUCAUCUGCUUUCUUACUCUUUUCUUUAUUGGGAGACACGGACAUAUGAACCAUCUGGACAAUGUUUUGAGCUUCAGUUUUCUAACAUGUAAAACUAAGAUCAUCCAGUCCAGCCAUUCUACUUUCUCCAAAAUCUACUUUUUAAUUAAGCCAGACUUUGGUACUUAGAACAUUUGUGCUUGGCUCCUGUAGAAUUUUUUUUUUAAUAAUUGGCCAACAAUUCGAUAUUAUGACAUCAGUCUACACUGAGAGAUGUUUUUAAAAACAGACCUGUGAAACUC